UACUUCCUACGGGACGCAGCAGUGGGGAAUAUUGCACAAUGGGGGGAACCCUGAUGCAGCGACGCCGCGUGGGUGAAGGAGUAUUUCGGUAUGUAAAGCCCUAUCAGCAGGGAAGAACAAUGACGGUACCUGACUAAGAAGCACCGGCUAAAUACGUGCCAGCAGCCGCGGUAAUACGUAUGGUGCAAGCGUUAUCCGGAUUUACUGGGUGUAAAGGGAGCGUAGACGGCGCGGCAAGUCUGAAGUGAAAGGCAGGGGCUUAACCCCUGAACUGCUUUGGAAACUGCCAUGCUAGAGUGCUGGAG
rnacentral:rRNA from 1 species